UCGCAAAACAAAAAAAGUAGAAGAACCGAAAUUGUGGGUGGGAUGGGUAGAAUGAAACUUGUAUGGAUGAUGAUGAUGAUGAUGAUGAUGAAUAUAUGUGUGGUGAUCAUGGCAGUGAAAGCAGAAAAGGCUCCCUCUCCCUCUCCCUCUCCCUCUCCGAGCUCCCCAGUUCCUCGUAAAUGGUCUGAUCCACGUGAAGUAGUCGAUGUAAAAUUACCUAAACUCCCAAAAUUCCAUCUACCUCCAAAAUUCCAUCUUCUAUGUAUUUGUGUUAUGCACUGCGACCAAACAUGCAAAGCAGCAAACCCUUACCCAGCCUACCUCGCUUGCUUCUUCGGCUGUCUUCCAAUCAAAUGCAAUCCAUGGCGUUUAGAUGCUGCCUACCAUUCCAAGACCACUGCCUUUGCAUCUGUUGCACGUUGCAAGGCAUUGCCUAGGAAUCCAUAAGUUGAGCCUAAUAUCCGCACAGCCAAGACAUUGAUGUUUUGGCUGCAGGUUCCGAAGAUGUAGUCAGUAGAUGAUGACCUAGUUGCCUAGAGUGUGGGAUGCUAUGACAGAAGCACAUUAUGACGUCAUAUGUCAUGGACUUGCGAGUAGUUUAUUAUUUUGUAGUCUUUUAUAUAUGGCUCGUGUCGCUUGUGACAUGUGUAUUUAUAGAGCCAUAUUUUUGGUAUAUAAUUAAUGUUAUGUUUAAAGCCUUAAACAUACAGACCAUUAUAUUGGCUAUUUUGUGUAUUAACAGUUAAUGGUUUGUAGAUGUGCUUUUACUUUUCA